ACGGAGGGUGCAAGCGUUAAUCGGAAUUAAUGGGCGUAAAGCGCAAGCAGGAGGUUUGUUAAGACAAAUGUGAAAUCCCCGGCCACAACCUGGGAAAAGCCAAUGAUACUGGCAAGAUUGAGACUCGUAAAGGGGGAUAGAAUUCCAGGUGUAGCGGUGAAAUGCGUAGAGAUCUGGAGGAAUACCGGUGGCGAAGGCGGCCCCCUGGACGAAGACUGACACUCAUGUGCGAAAGCGUAGGGAGCAAACAG
rnacentral:rRNA from 1 species